AUGGGCGGGGAGGUGCCGGAGCCGCGGCGGCUCAGCCGCGCGCUCAGCUUCGGCGUGCCCGACGAGGCGCUGCACCUCGUCAUGGGCUACGUCGACGCCCCGCGCGACCGGGAGGCCGCCUCGCUCGUCUGCCGCCGCUGGCACCGCAUCGACGCGCUCACCCGCAAGCACGUCACCGUCGCCUUCUGCUACGCCGCCGACCCCUCGCGCCUCCUCGCCCGCUUCCCGCGCCUCGAGUCGCUGGCCCUCAAGGGCAGGCCGCGCGCCGCCAUGUACGGCCUCAUCUCCGACGACUGGGGCGCCUACGCCGCGCCCUGGGUCGCACGGCUCGCCGCGCCGCUCGAGUGCCUCAAGGCGCUCCACCUGCGACGCAUGACCGUCACCGACGACGACGUCGCCACGCUCAUCCGCUCCCGCGGCCACAUGCUGCAGGAGCUCAAGCUCGACAAGUGCUCCGGCUUCUCCACCGACGCGCUCCGCCUCGUCGCCCGCUCCUGCAGAUCCUUAAGAACAUUAUUUCUUGAAGAAUGCGUGAUUACUGACGAAGGUGGUGAAUGGCUUCAUGAACUUGCUGUCAACAAUUCUGUUCUUGUGACACUGAACUUCUACAUGACUGAGCUCAAAGUGGUGCCGGCUGAUCUGGAGCUUCUAGCAAAGAACUGCAAAUCAUUACUUUCUUUAAAGAUCAGUGAGUGUGACCUUUCAGACCUGAUUGGUUUUUUCGAAGCAGCCAAUGCAUUGCAAGAUUUUGCUGGAGGAUCGUUCAAUGAGGUAGGAGAGCUAACAAAGUAUGAAAAAGUCAAGUUUCCACCAAGAGUAUGCUUCUUGGGGCUUACGUUCAUGGGGAAAAAUGAGAUGCCUGUUAUCUUCCCCUUUUCUGCUUCAUUAAAGAAGCUGGACUUGCAGUACACUUUCCUCAGCACUGAGGAUCAUUGCCAGCUUAUCUCAAAAUGCCCGAACCUAUUUGUUCUUGAGGUGAGGAAUGUGAUAGGAGACAGAGGGCUGGAGGUUGUCGGCGAUACAUGCAAGAAGCUACGAAGACUUCGAAUUGAGCGAGGGGAUGAUGAUCCAGGUCUACAAGAAGAGCAAGGAGGAGUUUCUCAGUUAGGCCUGACAGCGGUAGCUGUUGGUUGCCGAGACCUGGAGUACAUAGCUGCCUAUGUAUCUGAUAUCACCAACGGUGCUCUUGAAUCCAUUGGGACCUUCUGCAAAAAUCUCUACGACUUCCGGCUUGUCCUGCUCGACAGACAAAAGCAGGUAACUGAUCUGCCACUCGACAACGGUGUUCGUGCUCUGUUAAGGAGUUGCACCAAGCUCCGGAGAUUUGCUCUCUACCUGAGACCUGGAGGGCUCUCAGACAUAGGCCUCGACUACAUCGGGCAGUACAGCGGCAACAUUCAGUACAUGCUGCUGGGCAACGUCGGUGAAUCUGACCACGGGUUGAUCCGCUUUGCGAUAGGAUGCAUCAACCUGCGGAAGCUUGAGCUUCGGAGCUGCUGCUUCAGCGAGCAAGCCCUGUCCCUCGCGGUGCUCCACAUGCCCUCGCUCAGGUACAUAUGGGUGCAAGGCUACAAAGCCUCUCCAGCAGGCCUCGAGCUCCUGCUCAUGGCGAGGCGAUUCUGGAACAUCGAGUUCACGCCCCCCAGCCCCGAGGGCUUGUUCCGCAUGACGCUUGAAGGAGAACCCUGCGUGGAUAAGCAGGCCCAGGUUCUUGCCUACUACUCCCUUGCUGGGCAGAGGCAGGACUGCCCUGACUGGGUGACCCCGUUGCAUCCAGCUGCAUGA
rnacentral:rRNA from 1 species